rnacentral:rRNA from 1 species
UUGUUUCUUCCUGACUCAGGACGAAGGCGGGGUGCUUCAUAAACACAUGCAAGUCGAAAGGAAAGGCCUUUCUUGCAGGGUACUCGAGUGGCGAACGGGUGAGUAACACGUGGGUGAUCUGCCCUUCACUUCGGGAUAAGCCUGGGAAACUGGGUCUAAUACCGGAUAGGACCAUCGUUUAGUGUGGGUGGUGGAAAGUUUUUCGGUGCAGGAUGAGCUCGCGGCCUAUCAGCUUGUUGGUGGGGUAAUGGCCUACCAAGGCGUCGACGGGUAGCCGGCCUGAGAGGGUGGACGGCCACAUUGGGACUGAGACACGGCCCAGACUCCUACGGGAGGCAGCAGUGGGGAAUAUUGCACAAUGGGCGCAAGCCUGAUGCAGCGACGCCGCGUGGGGGAUGAAGGCCUUCGGGUUGUAAACUCCUUUCA